UGUAACUAGAAAGAAAGAAAGAAAGAAAACUUGUCACUGUCAUUGAUCUGACAAUAAUUAAUGUCUCUCUAGUUUGUCAUUCUAGCCAUAUUUGCUUUAACUUCUACAAACAAGAAGGCCCUUCUGUUAACCAAAAAUGCCAAGUCAAAUGUAGCAUAAAGUUUUGAAAAGCAGCCAGGGUAGAAUUCACCAGGCACCACCUGGGCAGGAGAACCUCAGAACACUCAAAUCCAUUCUUGUUUCUAAGAACAUCGACUCAGGCAAGCAACUGCCAGAGUCCCGCUGUGUGGGCUGGGACUGGUCCAGUCACCCCAGAGUGCUGAAGACCCAACGGGCUUUUGUGUUUUAUUUUAUUUUGAAUUAUUAUUAUUUUAUGUACAUGGGUGUUUUGCCAGCAUGUGUAUCUGUGCUCUGCCCCAGGAGUCCAGAGGAAGGUAUCAGUUCCUCUGGACCUGGAGUUACAGGCACUUGUGAGCUGCCAUUAGGGUGCUAGGAAUCUAACCCAGCCAAGGUAACUGCUAAGCCAUCUCUCCAUGCCCUCCAAGGGAUACUUUUUUUUUCAGACAAGUGGAACUUCUGAUGCCCCUGCCUCCAUCUCCUGAAUGCUGAGAUUAUAGACUUGCAUCACCACACCUAGACAUAUGUGGUCUGGGGACCAAACCCAGGGCUUAGCUGCUUGUUAGGCGAGCACUCUACCAAUUGAGCUCCAUCCCCACCCCAAGUUUUUUAUCCUGACAUUAAUAAUAAUAAUAAUAAUAAUAAUAAAUGUAUAAAGCAGGCCUGCUUUUGGUACAGACUACAGUUUGGACCUGAUCUGAUAGGACAGCUAUGCUAAGAACUGUCAUCUGCCUUGAAACGAGACAAGACCUACUGCAGGCUGACUCACUACAGAGCUCUGCAGAACCCACUCUAAAUGCUAUCAUCAACCUGAACACCUGGAACAAAAAUCAUUGAGGUUUUUGGUUCUGUCCCAAGUAAUUAUUUUCAAUCCUCUACUCUUCCCUCGGAGAAUGUUUUGCCCAUUCUAUAAACCGGAGUUCAUUUCUCAGCAAGAGUAAAAAGAGAAAAGAGAGUGGGUAAAAAGUUUCUUGAAAGGCUAAAUAAAUCAGACUUGCUGGAAUAAGCCUCCCCAGAGGUGGAGAGGUGAGCCAGCCCCCACCCAUUCCCAGUUGACCACAUCUGACCCUAUGAAUACUGCCUCGCAGAAGUACCCAGAGAAGUUGCCAGAGCAACCAGGUACUGAGCCCCUCCUGGUUAGUUUAUUUCCCAGGCACCACUAGCAUCAUAGGCAAGCAACUCUCCUCACCUCCCCCCCACCACCCCCUUUGCCUAAAAGCAAAGGUGUAAGAGCAUCUGGCAGGUGACUGAGUGUCCUGGAAUUUGUGGCCACUAAGAUAGUACAAACCUGAAAAACCGGUUACUUUUAAGUGCUGGGCCUUGGGGUGAAGUCAGGCUUUAAAGCAAGAACUGGCUUUUCUUUGGGGAGGGGGGGACUUAAUUUGUUUCACAGUAUGUAUUUUUUUUGGGGGGGUGGAGUCUGAAACUUGUAGAUAUACUUCUGCCUAUGUCUCCCCAGUGCUGGGAUUACAGAUGCCCAGCCAGAGGGCUUCUUAGGUACUCAAUGAGAAAGGCAACAGGUACAGAAUGACAGAAGUUCCCAGGGCCCCUUCAGGGCCCAUUUCAGUUAAGGAAGGAAAAUGAGUAAGUACGAACAAUCUCUGUUGCAAACUCUGCCAGUGGAGACAAGCCAGUGAUCACCAGCUAGGUCAGGCUGGGAAAUCUAAACUGUAACUUACUCUGAGCCCUGGCUGACAAGCAGCAGUGACUUGGCCUGAGCUGGAGGACUGAGGACUCAGCAGCAGGUGAGGAGGCCACUAAGGUGGGACAGCCACACCCCAUCUGCAUUUACCUGAAGCAAAUGAAGGCCACAGCACAUAGAAACUUUAGCUAGUGAUUUGCAGGAUAUUAGUACAUUCCUAUUGUUGUGGUGUUACAGUGAAAAUGCUAAUUUGGGACCUGUGAUUAAGUGUUUCAAAGCUGGCAGGCAGUUCAUUGAAAAUUUUAGCCUAUUGUGUCAUUCCAGCUCCUUACAGUCUAAAGAAAUCCAAGCAGAAGAGAAAUGAAAAGUGUGAAGUGAGCUGCACAGAAGUCAGAAAGAACAGGCUACUUUUUUCUAUUUGUAGCUCAUACAGAUUUAUCAAAGUGGAAGUGAUAUAAAUAGGGAGGGCAGAUCCUAUUACCUACCGAAGUCCUUGAACAGAUUUUCUUUGGAAUUGAGCAGCACUCCGUAGGCAGAUGCCCUCAGCGCCAUGAAACUCAACCCACAGCUCCUGGGGGCCCCAUGCUAGCUCAGCUUAGUUGCCUCACUUAAGAGCAAAGGAACGAUUGCACUGUUUUCUAAACUGAAACCUAUCACCCUAAGGCUAUUAACACUUGAAUAUUAUGUCUGGCACAUGAGCACCAUCACGCAACUGAAAUAAUGUGUCAGGAAACUCAUGGGAGUUAGUUCUGCAGGAUAGUAAAGGUGAGCUAACUGUGGAUACAUGUGCCCUUGUAACAUGUAACAUGACAAUGCUUUUAGAGAAAUGCCAUGUCUUUAGGGCUGGAGAGGUGGCUCAACCAUUAAAAGCUAGGUUCACAACCAGAAAUAUGAGGAAUGCCAUUUUUAUAAGAGGUUGCAUGUCUGAAGCCAAGCAUGGUGGUGCAGUGGUUCACACCUGUUAUUCCAGCACUGGGGCAGUAGGAAGGAGGAUCAUUAGUUCAAAGUCAACCCUGGCUACACAGUGACACCUAGCCUAACCUGGACCAACUAGGACCCCAUUUCAGGCCAGGCAUAGUGGUCCAUGCCUAUUUAAUCCCAGUGCUCAGGAAGUUGAUCUCUGUUGAGUUUGAAGCCAGCCUGGUCUACCUUAAGAGUUCAGGUCAGCAAGGGCUAUACAGUGAGACCUUGUCUCAAUAAAGAAAAGCAAAGAAAAAUAAACAGUAGAAGUCACAUUUGAAAUUAUAAACUAGAUGACUUUAAGUUUCUGGCAGGCCAAAGGCCAAGCAACCAAAAUGGCCUAGCUGCAACCAUUCUUAAAAUGGAAUCUAUAAAAAGCUGAAAAAUCAGCAUGAUCAUAUUAACCCAAGAGUAAGGGCACAGAGACUACAGUGUAUGGUUAUAUCUUUGAGAGACAAUAAACUAAGCAAGAUGUUUGUCUUUUAGAAAAAAAUUAAAAUUAAAAUUCCAUCCUGUAACAACAGUUCCCUGCUAAGCAAAUAAGGCACCUGAGCUGAGAGGCCCCCAAAGUCCACCCUCAUUCAAGUUUACACAAGACCAAUCCAAGGCAGGCAGGGAGGACAGCUCUCUAACACAAACAGACAACAAAGCCUUAAGUGUGAGUCUCUUAACGCAAGGCUCUGAGAAAACAGCCAGCAGCUGUGCGAACAUGAGGUCUCCACUCACGCCCAAGUAGUGGGCAGACUUGCUGCAGCGGCACAGCUAUAGCACAGGAGUGAAGUCCAGUGGGCAUGCUCACAGCUCUCCACUGUUGACUCAGGCUCCUCACUGAGUUCCAUCUUCUUUGAGGACUGCAAUGGAGGAGGUGAGGCAGUGAGAAACUGUAAAACCCAGGGUCAGCUUGAAACACAGCCUGGAAUCCCUGCCCUCUGUCCCAACCCUUGCAAAAUUCAGUCUCUCUCCUCAAAUGAGGACAUCCAGUUGUAGCCAGAACUGCUCUUCUGGGGAAACCCUGGUUCUGAAAAUGAGCAACGGUCCCAGAAGUGGCAGCUGGCUCACCUAUAAUCUCAGGACUCAGGAGGCGGAGGCAAGGGCAUCAUUGAGCCCGUCAGGGCUAAAAAACAAGACAUCACUUAAAAAAGGAAACAAAGAAAAGCAAGCCAAAUCCCCAAUUGCCCAUCUAAUUGUAAAAACUAGUUCCUGGGCUAACCUGCAAAAGCUCCAGUUAUAAAUUCCCCACGCCAGAGGCACAGCUAAGCCACAGGAUGUGAGCGCAGGGACAUAGUGUCUGUGGCCUGAUACACUAGUCCAGAACCUAACUCCUGCCUCCAGAACCCAGCCAACAGGGACGGGACAGCCUACAAACCGCUUUUCCAACAUGGUAUCUAUCUAUUUCUUGUAUAGAGAAAAAGAUUCUCAGCUGAGGACACAGCUCAGCCGGUGUAUAGUGCUAACCUAGCAUACAUGAGGCUAUGGUGGUUUGAAUGAAAAAAUGCCGCUAAAGGCACAUGUAUUUGAACAUGUGAUUUCCUAGUUAGUGGUGCUCUUGGGCAAGUUAUGAACUGUUAGGAGGUGGAGCCUUGCUGAAGGAAGCUUGUCACUAGGGGGAAGGCUUUGAGAGUUCACACCAUACCCAGCUUCCAGUUUUCUCAGAACUCCCUGCCUGUGGAUGGAAUGCCUGUGAAGGGAAAUGUCUCUCAGCUUCUUGCUUCAGCCAUCUGCUGCCUUUUCCACUAUUAAAAAGUCUCCCUCUGGAACCCUAAGCCCAAAUAAACCCUUCCUUCUGCAAGUUGCUUUUAUGGUGUUUUAUCACAGCAGCAAAAAAGUAACUAAUCCAGAGGCCCUGAGUUCCAUCCCAAGUACCACACAGAAGUAGGCUCAGUGGGAUAUGCCUGUAUUCCCGGCAUGUGAAAGGUAGAGUCAGAAACUCAAGGUCACCAAUAGCUACAAAGCAAGUAGAACAUCAUACUGGGCUAUACGAGACACUGUCUCAAAAACAUUAGAAAAAUGGUGAUUCUGGGACACAAAAACUGUCUUCUUCAAUUAAGUUCUUUAGUCUAAGUCACCAAGACCUGUCUACUUUUCUGGCCACAGCCACCCUGAAGUCACCUGCACUUCAGCUCCAGGGAACUACUGUUCACCAAAAGAUUAGGAAGGAAGCCAGGCUAAGGCGAUAGCUAAGCCACAGAGAGAGUUUGCUUGCUUCAUACUAACAUAUAUGAGGCCCCACUGGGCUCUGUGUGUCUCAGUACAUGGCUCCAUCUUCAACUCUCUUGAAUUCCUCAGCUUAGGAGGCAAAGCCCCAUGCCUCAGAAAAAAAAUCUGACCUUACCUGGUGUCACCCGCUAUGAAGUAGCUAAGCCAAGAACAAAUCCAGGUUGCUGAGCACCAAACAUAAGAGCUGCACUGCUAGGAUCAACCGUCCCAUGUGCGCUAAAUUUUUAACACAUUUUAAAUUUUUCAGAAAAUAUUUAGUUUCAAUGGCAGCACUGAAAAGCUCUCUAAAACUUUACAGUUCAAUACUGUUACAUACACACAACCAUUAAGAGGGCAGAUGUGACACAGAUAGUCCUAAUUCCUGCUUUACCUCACAGCCAGCUAUGCACACUACUGUUCUAAUCAAUAACACAUUAAAAUGUGCCUUUAUAGGCACAUCUAAGUUAUAAAACCCCCUCCCUUUCCUGCGUCUGAUGUCAAAACUCAUAAGGAUCUUGGAGAAAGGCAACUUCUCAGAAUGGAUGAGCCCAUCUUAGAACUGGUGGCCUCCAUCAAAACCCUGGGAGCAGCACUGAGGCCCAUACCACAUGGUACUCAAAAGUAGGCUACUUGUGCCCUGGCCUAGAUGCCAAGCUACAAAAGCACCCACAGCUCUCAGACUCCUCAAAACCAGCAGGGUUCCUUCCCUUAGGCCUGGCUAUUAAAGCCUAAGCUGGUGAGUUCUGAGAACAGAAUGCAUCCUCUUUACUGCUCUCAGACUCACUCAGGCUUCUUCCUUUUUAAAUGGACUGUAUAUUUCAGCAGUCAUCAGUAACUUGGGAAUACCAGACACAAAUCAACAGGCCCAGCAAAAAAAGGGAAAGGGCAGAUGUCACACACAUGGCUAAGUGUGUGAUGAGCUAUCCCUGACUUUAAAGUAUGUGUGGUGGCUGAAACUUCCUCAACAGCAAUGAUCGACAGUGUAGAAGCACAUGAGCUGUUCUCCCCUCACUAGAAGGAAAAAAAAAAAAAAAAAAAAAAAAAAAAACAGCACAGUUCACUCUGAGGAAGAUCUCCAGAACUUCCCUGGGACCCAUAUGGUGGAAAGAAGCCAUUUCCACAUUAACAUCUGACCUCCACACAUGGGCCAUUGUAAACACAUAUCACAUACACAAUAAAUAAUAAAUUGUUGUAUUAAUUAUUUUUAAAAUUAUACACAAAAUCACACACAUAAACUUAAACCUACAAGCCAGGCUCAGUAGUGCAAAUGUCUGUUAGUUCAGCAUCUCUAUAGGACACAGAUGCCUACUGUGCAUAACAGAGAAACACAAGGACCUAACCUUUCCAUUUGCAUGUGUGAAUCUGUAAUUUGUCUUCCUUUAAAUAAAACAGUUGCUGAGACACACAAAGCACAGUCAAUAGCUGGGUAUUUUCUGAAUCCACAAUGAGCACAGCUCUGAUUUUUGAAGACAAAGAACUUCCAAAUGUGAUUCUGCUUUGGGGAUAUGUACCUGAAUCCUGCAACAGGACACUCAGGCUGACACCUGCUCACCAUUCCUUACCACCUCAGCUCAUACAUUUAAAUGAGCUCAUACUAGUCUGGACCCCAAAUCCAGACUAGUCUCUACUGAGAGAUCAAGAAGAGACAAGACAGGGUCCCUAAAGUACCUACAGCAAGGCAGGUAGGGGAAAGUGGACCUUGUGGGCUGUGUACUAGGGAGACAAAAUCUGGCCUGGUAGGGUGACCCAACCCUACCAGACGAUGACACUGGGAAACACAUGAGUUUGACACAGCAGAGCCCAGGACUGUAUAAGGAAGUACUUCACUUCCUGUUCUAACCAACCCACAAGACUGUGAAUAAAGACAUUAAGCCUGCUCAAAAGGAGAACUCUGCUUUUCCCAGAGAGCUACCUAGACUCUGGAAGCAGGAAUCAAUUGGGUAAGGGGGAUCUAGCCUGAACCCCUAAAUAAACUGUGACACCUAAGUCCAUUUUCAGAGGCUAAGGAGCCAGGGCUGAUAGGCAACCAGGGCCCAAUAACCAUGUCAUGAGUGAACUAUAGCAGAGGCAGGGUGGGAAAGAGGGAGCCCAGGAGUGGAAGAACACAGACCUGGGUCUGAACCCUGCCUGUGCACCCCAGCCCAUGAGCAGAGAGGAAUUCAUAUGCUCACUGAACCCCAACUUCCUUGUCUACAAACCGAGCAAACCCAAAGGUCACAAAUAGGGAGAGAGGAUCCCCAAUGAGGAGCACAGAAGAGAGCACUGUGGUCUAGCCCAGGACUCAGAUGGCUUAAGAACUGAGUUCAUAAGAAAGACAAGCUGGUUUGAGAAGUGCCACAUGACACAGGCAAGGGGCUGAGGGGGUGGGGGGAGGGCAGGCCUUUGUCCUGGGAGUUGCCCAGGACAUGGUGCUGAUGAAUCUGGGCCUCCAGCUAGAACCCAGGGGCACUGAGAAGUGGCACAUACAUGCACACACAGUGUUAGUCAGGCUUUGCAUGGCUGUGACAGACAUGUGACAGACAGCUGAAAAGUGGGAAGAUCUACUCUGCCUCUUAGUUUCUCUACAUGGUCAGCUGGCCCCAUUACUAAACAUUAUACUAAGAGGUAUGUGAUGAGAAAGUCUAGUCACCAGACACGGGGAAGAAGGGAGAGUAGGACACAUGGGACAAGAUGGCUCCAAAGAUGCACCCUGAUGAUACUGUUCCCUCCAACUAAGCACCACCUCUCAAAGUUGCUACCUUUUCCCAAUCAUGCUAUAAAAUUAUGAAUGUUUGUGAAUUAAUCCCUUGAUUUGGUGAAGGCUCUACUGACCAAGCCAUUCUCAGUGACUUUAUAUACCACUAGAGACCAAGGGUUCCAAAACAUAAGCCUUUGGGGGAAAGGAACACUUCAUACCCAAACCAGACACACAAAUCAACUGAGUGGAAGGGAAUGAUACAGGACAUGACCAAGGAUAACAAGACACCAGACCAAAGAGACAGACAGACAGCUUCUUCCCGACUGUCUCCUCAGGGCAGCCAGCAGCCGAGCCCCCCCAACCCGAAACUAUCUAAAUCUAACCACUAGCACCACAGAAGAGCCUCUGCCACCACAGAGAGGCCAGGUAAACCUGAACUUCUGGGUAGCACAGGAGCUAAGACUCAUCCUCAAAAAUUUCACUACAUUAGACAAUGCCUGCCCUCCAAGACACGAAGGCACCAGGAACCUCCCUUGAGCUGGGUUUGCUCAGCUCAAGUCCUCCACUUGGGCUGCAGACCAAUAUUUGAGGCCUCAGUCUUACUCCAUGUGGACUUCCUGUGUCUGUGCAAAUUGGUGUAUUCACCUAUAACUGGAAUUAUUUUCCCACUCUAGACAGGAAUGACUUGGAUGCUCUCUUGCUUUACUCCUAACUUCAAGAAAGAAAGAAGUCCACAACAGUGCUGUAUUAAAGCUCAGUGGUCAAGCAUUUUCCUUGAUGGAUUUUUAGCCUAGGUUCAUCCUUAGUACCAAAAAUAAGAAAACAAAGAUCUGUGAUGGGAAAUGGUACACAGAAUCCUUGUUCAAAAAAAAAAAGGUAUUAGGAUGCUGCUUAGUUGUAGAGCACAUGACUACCAUGCCCAAAGCCCUGGAUUCAAUAAUGCCUACCACAGUAUAAACCAGUAUUGAAAUGCAGCUGUAAUUCUAGAACUAAACAGGUGGAGACAAGAGAGUCAGAUGUUAAGAGUCAUCCUUGGCUACAUACCAAGUUCAGUGCCAGCCUGGAAAAAGACCGUCUCAAAGUGAAAAGGGGGGGGGGCAGUGGCUUCAUUGUGUAGAUGCAGGUUGUCUUUGAAGCUAAAACCAGCAUAGCAUCAAAACUUCUGCUUUCUAUCAAGGCCCCAAUUUGAGGGGAACCUGACCACAGGGAGGGCUGACUGGCAUUUUAACUGUUAGACAGUCAGCUCAGCUUAUUAGUUUGUGAUGCUAAUAAGGCAACCAGGGACUGCACAUGCUAUUUCUUCACAAAACCAAGUAGGUAGACCAAGGCUCAUGCUUGCAGUCCCAACAGCUGGUAGACUGAGGCAGAGGACAACCUUGAGUUCAAGGCCAACCGGGACCACAAUGUGACAUGUCCCAAAACUCCUGCUCUGCAGGUGCUUGGGUCAUGCCAGGGGCUCUAGACUGGGCAAAGGAAAACACACAUGGCCCAUUCCUAUAGAGCCAGAGAACAGCUGGACCUCACCUAGAAAUAGACUCAGCCAGGCACAGUGGUGCACACCUGUAAUCCCAGCACUCAGGCAGGCAGACGCAGGCAACUCUUUUGUGAGUUUGAGGCCAGCUGGGUAUACAGCCAAGGCUACAGAGAAACCUUGUUAAGAAUAGAACCAAAAAAGAGAAAGAAAGAAACAAACAAAACACCACAGACUCACACUUCAGCAAUGAUACACCAUAAUCACUUAAACCUGUCUCUCCCUCAAGGAGCACACCAACCUCCCCAGUUUGGGGAGACUUUUAAACUACAGAGCAUGGAUGUAACUUAAUCUGUAGUUCCCAAAUCAGAAAAUGACCAACCACAGCACAGAAGAGGCUUGCCAUGCCCUCUGCCCCAGCACAAGCCACUUCCCAUUACCUCCUGGCAGCAGGAUGUUACCAGAUCUAGGGACCUGAAAGAGAAGACGGUGCUCUGCACACCUUCAGAACUUCAGUCAGAACUUUGGGUUUUUGUUUGUUUGUUUCUGAGUCUCACUCCUUUAAGUUCAGGCUCGUCUUCCUGCCUCGGCCUGCCAAGUGCUAAGAUUACAGGGAUGAGCCACUGUACCCAGCUUUACAAGUUCUACAUCUUCUUGAUCCUCCAAUAGCUCCAGAGUCAUUACAGUCACUUUUGGGACCCAUCCCCUGCUAUUUUGACAUCUCUCCUGCCCAAACCCACAUGGAGUUGGUCAGAUUACUCCUACCACACUGACCCCUUUGGUUUCAAACAGAGCCGUGGUCUCACAAGGCUCUUCCCCGUCACAUGCAGUUGACCCCUUACUUCCUUCCAGGCUCCCUUUACAAAGAGCCUUGGCAUAGAGGACCCUUGUUGUUGAGUCCUUUCAGACCCCCACCCUUGCUCCCCUUCAAGCUCCUCAGUCCUCUCCUAUAUUAUUAAGGGAUGCCAAGCCCCAUGAUACCACUGGCUCCCACUGCCUCCUAGCCCCAUCAUACCAGUGGCUCUCACUGCCUCAUAGCCCCAUCAUACCAGUGGCUCCCACUGCCUCCUAGCCCCACGAACGCCAUUGGCUCUCACUGCCUCCUAGCCCCAUGAACGCCACUGGCUCCCACUGCCUCCUAGCCCCAGCAAGCCACUGGCUCCCACUGCCUCCUAGCCCCAUCAAGUCACUGGCUCCCACUGCCUCCUAGCCCAUGAACGCCACUGGCUCCCACUACCUCCUAGCCCCAUCAAGCCACUGGUUCCCACUGCCUCCUAGCCCCAUCAUGCCACUGGCUCCCACUGCCUCCUAGCCCCAUCAAGCCACUGGUUCCCACUGCCUCCUAGCCCCAUCAUGCCACUGGCUCCCACUGCCUCCUAGCCCCAUCAAGCCACUGGCUCCCACUGCCUCCUAGCCCCAUGAACGCCACUGGCUCCCACUGCCUCCUAGCCCCAUCAAGCCACUGGCUCCCACUGCCUCCUAGCCCCAUCAAGCCACUGGCUCCCACUGCCUCCUAGCCCCAUGAACGCCACUGGCUCCCACUGCCUCCUAGCCCCAUCAAGCCACUGGCUCCCACUGCCUCCUAGCCCCAUCAAGCCACUGGCUCCCACUGCCUCCUAGCCCCAUCAAGCCACUGGCUCCCACUGCCUCCUAGCCCCAUCAUGCCACUGGUUCCCACUGCCUCCUAGCCCCAUGAACGCCAUUUGUUCAUGCUGCCUCCUAGCCCCAUCAUGCCACUGGUUCCCACUGCCUCCUAGCCCCAUCAUGCCACUGGCUCCCACUGCCUCCUAGCCCCAUCAUGCCACUGGCUCCCACUGCCUCCUAGCCCCAUGAACGCCACUGGCUCCCACUGCCUCCUAGCCCCAUCAAGCCACUGGCUCUUACUGCCUCCUAGCCCCAUCAAGCCACUGGCUCCCACUGCCUCCUAGCCCCAUGAACGCCACUGGUUCUCACUGCCUCCUCUAAGAGACAACAGGAACAGAUGUUAGCUUUUGGUUUCAGAAUAGAAAGCACAUCUGCAGCUGUCAGGUAAGAGGAGAACUUAAAGGAACAAUGAUGACUCAGUGGGUACUGCCCUUGUCACUUCUAAGAAACCCUCUUCUGUGUCAUUGCUGGUCUAGUGGUUUGUUGUUCUAUUUGCAGGCCGGGCAGAGGAGUAGGGAGUUUUUCCACAUAAAACAUUUGCUUUAAAAUGUGCAGCUGAUAGGCAGGCCUGUCAGGACAGACUUACAAAUAAAACCAAUUGCAGGGGAGGCUGAGGCAGGAAGAUCACAUGCUCAAGGGUUUCUUAGGAACUCAGUGAGAUCCUGCUCAACAUUUGAUAGAGAGAAAGAGACAGAGACAGAGUGACAGAGAGAGAAAAAGACAGAGAGAACUGGAGAGACAGGUCAAGGGCAGAGUGCUUGCCACCUUAUAUGCCAAGGCCCUAACUUCAAUCCCCAAUAUUGCCCGAAAAAGGAGUAAAGACUGAUUUUGGAAUCAGCUGGAAUUAAAAGAAUCUUACAUCCAGUCAGUGGCCACAUGGAAGCUCUGUGAUAGCACAGGGCUAGAGGCAUAGUCUAAAAGGCUAUCUCUUAAAAUUACCUCCCAGGCCACCCAGAGGCAAAGCAAGUUGGAAGCCAUUCUUCCCUCACAAGUUACAUCUGCUUUAAAAUGGGCAGCUUCAGCCAGUCCUGUCAGCAGACUUGUAAAAACCAAUUGCACCAGAGGCUGCCUACCUUUCCUGGUGUCUCCCACCCUAAAUCACAGCUAGGAUCAGUACUCCCAAACACCUGCAGGAGUCAGUCAGGCCCAGAAGAACUUACCCUCCAGUGCUGACUAAGCAAAGGAAAACUCCUGCCAAAGGUCAGUUGCUGAUGUGAUGGGCAAGUUUCACAUAGUAAGGACAGGGCAGUGAGCUUUUCCUCCACUGUGAGGACAGACCCACCCCUCCAUACGCUAUCAGAGACCAAAAUAGGAUAUGACAUAAUCUUUAGCACCUCAAAACCUUGCCAGCAAUAGCUGGCUUUCAGUUAUAGAGCAAGGUGACAUGACUAAACAUUUUCCCACUAACCUCUGGGGCUACCUACAGGAGUUACUCCCAAUCUCUAAGGAGCCAGGAAAGUCUAGAAGAUGGCAGGAGCCACUGGUGGGUACCUGUCAGCCAGGGCUUCGUAGCUCAUGCCUUUAGUCCUAGGACUUGGGAGGCAGGGGCAGGCCAGCUACCCUUGUCUCUAUAGGUACACAUAUACACACACACACAUACCACCGUCUCCUUCUGCUUCCAGAAAAUGGGAUGAAGCAAAAAGGACACAGGGCCCAGCCCAAGAAGGGGCCCCUGCCACACUCCACACCUACUGUGCCAGUUCUGUGCAGGGAAAAAGUGUGUGAGUAUGAAAUGGGACUGCAGACCUACAAACCCACAACUUCAAACGUUUUUAGAAAAUAGGGCCAUUUCUGAAAAGGAAAUGUCAUAUGUGUGAUGAGCAAGCAUCACUGAGGCAGAGGCAUUUGAGGCACUAUGGGUUAACAUGGAAACAGUGACUUCCAAAAGUGGCUUCCAGCCAAGCAUGGUAGACCUACCCAUAGUCCCAGCACUAAGGACACCGAGGCAGGAGGAUCACAAGUCUGGGGCUACAGAGAUAAGUAGUCUCAAAAAAAUAAGGCAACUGUGUGGAGGAGGAAAAAUGACCCAGAGAUGAUCCAACACCAGCUUCAUCAUCCGGCUCUGUGUCACACAGGACUCAAAAAGAUUGCCAAUAGGCAGCACACAGUGCCCUGCCAACUAUCAACAGGGGCUAACAGCUGGCCCCUGGCAGGAAUAGCACUAAUGGGUGGGUGACCCACAGGAGAAGAAGAAAAAAACAUCAAGCUAAAGACCAGUCCCUGGCAUGUUCUACCCAUCCCCCAGCUCCCCGAAAACAAUUUAUAGCCAAGUUCCAACAAAUGCUUCCAGCCCUGCCCUGAGCAGCUGCAAGGGCAACAAAUGUCUAAGAUGAGACUUGCAGUGAAAAGCACAAUCAGGAGACACCCAAGUCAAGGGCAUAAGACAGCAACCAAAGAAUUGGGACCAAGGAAAAAGAAGGCACAUAUGGUACUACUAGAUUAUAAUCCCAAUAUUCAGGGGCUGAGGUAGGAUGAUCGUGAGUUCAAGGCCAGCAUGAACUACAUAGUGAAACCAGGUCUCAAAAAGCCAAAAGUAGAUGGGUGGUGGUGGCAUACACCUUUAAUUCCAAGGCUCAGAAGACAGAGGCAGGUCUAUCUCUGUGAGUUCAAAGCCAGCCUAGUCUACAGAGAGUUCCAGGAUAGCCAGGGCAACACAGAGAACCCCUAUUUUGGAGUGCGGAAAAAAAAAAGGACAUAAACUGUGGUUCACAUCACAUUGAAAAGCCCAUAGGAGACAGGCAAACACUCCAUCCAAACCGAGAGCCAUAAACGAAACGUAAACAAGACAAGGAUCAAGUGGGACAGGAAUAACUCGGACAGAGGAAGCUGGGCAGCACAAUUAAUAACUGACCCAGAUAGAAACCAUUUCUUCCAAACACGCAGCCCUUCCAACUCUCCUACGUGGCAGGCCACAAGGGAAAUUCCAUUCACUGGCCACAGUGGAAAAGAUAAAUAAAUCCUUAAAAUCAUUCAUUGAUUUAUCAGCACAUUUUACCAUUAAAAAAGUGACUGAGGCAAGCUAUAUUCUGGCUCCCAGUUCUGAAGGGCUGAGGUCAGAGCAACACAGGUGACAGCAGUUUCCAGUACACUCUGCAGCACUUAUCAAGGUAUGGGAAUACAUCUGCACUUGUGCUGUUUAUCUGUGUGUCUGUCUGUGGUCUCCCUCCUCCUAUCUGAGACUCACAGGCCCCACCCUAGAGAGCUCAUCUAAUCCUAAUCCCACCCAGAGGCCUCACCUCCCAACACCAAUCUGGGAUUAAAUGUCACCUCUUAAUCCCUCACAGUGGAGAUUUAAAUUUCAACAAUGAAGCUUUGGGGACCUCCACCUCCAUCUAAAGCACAGGAUGAGGGUACACUUCAGUGGGUCUGGGAAGGUUAAGCAGGUUAAGCACUAGGGAAUACUAGAAAAUGGAAACAAAGUUAAAACCUGUAAGAGUGCUGUGAGACUCAAGGGCAGACACAUAGCUUUAAACAUUUUUUAAUUUUAUUACUUUAUGUGGAUGUGUGCACGCCUGGGUGUGUCUGUUUGUGCUGGAGCUACACACUACGCCCCUCCCCCAGGCCUGGAGGUACAGACAGUUUCAAGUUUGCCAGUUGUGUAUACUGAGCACCAAACCUACAUCACAUCCUACAUAUGUAAGGCAAGGCAUUCAUACACAUGAAAAAUUUAAAACAUCUCAAAAGAAAAAAAUGCCAGGUGUGAUGGCAAAACCCAUUGAUGGCCAGCACUUGAAGGGCAAAGGCGGUGGAGCACAAGACGGCCAGCCUGGGCUAGACAGCAAGACCUUGCCUCUAGUUAACUUAAUUUUUAAAGAAAUCCUGAGGAUGGGAAGACGCCUUUGCCAGUCAACACACUUGCCUUAUAAGUGUAGAGCAAAGGCUGGAGCUCAAGAGCCCAUGUUAAAAAGCCAGUGGCGGCUAAGCAGUGAUGGUGCACACCGUAACCCCAGCACUUGGGAGGCAGAGGCAGAGGCAGGCAGAUCUCUGAAUUCAAGGCCAGCCUGGUCUACAGAGUGCCAGGACAGCCAAGGCUACCCAGGGAAACCCUGUCUGGAAAAAAAAAAAAAAAAGCAGCACAUACUUACAAAUCCCAAAGAUGAGGUUAGGAGUGGAGAAGGCAGGAAGAUCCCUGGAAACUCAGGACAGCAAUCCUGGGUGGAGUUCCACUCGGUGAGAGACCUUGCCUCAAAACAUGGCAGACACACAAGAUUGUCCUCUGACCACACACACACACACACCUGCACACAAACACAAGCCAUAGAGAGCCAAAUACAUACACACAUGCACACCUGUACAUACACACGCACCAUAGAGACACACAUACAUACAUUAGACAGGCACAAUACACACGCACCAUAGAGACACACAUACAUACAUUAGAGAGGCACAAUACACACACACCAUAGAGACACACAUACAUACAUUAGACAGGCACAAUACACACGCACCAUAGAGACACACAUACAUACAUUAGACAGGCACAAUACACACACACCAUAGGAAGACACACAUACACUAAAACAGACACCUAGAUUAUCUCUGCAAUUCUAUUUUCUAAAACUCCUUCAAUAAUAAAACACUGAUAAAAGACAGGAAACCUGGGAACCCUUGCUGUCCUGAAACUCACUCUGUGGACCAGGCUGGCCUCAAACUCAAUGGCCUGCCUCUGCCUCCCAGGUGCAUUAAAGGCAUGGGCCAUCACUGCCUGGCUAAGAUGCUUUUUUAAGAACUGUGAGAAGACAGAGGCAAGAGGACCAGGAAGUCAAGGUCACCCUCAAAUACAAUACAGUGAAGCUGUAGUGAGGGCAUGUGAGACCCUGUAAAAAAAGAAAAACAAAAACCAUAAUGUAACCAUAAUUAACAAUCCUAGGCUAACACACACUUAUGGUUAGGAAAAAAAAAUGCAUGCACAGAAAUGGAUGUGAUCCAGGCUAGCAUGUGGCCUAAAUUAGACAUAUAAGCAUGGUUCUUUUGGAAAAAUUGCAGGAGGAAAGGAGGGAAAAUCUCCCUAGAGAUAGCAACUAAAUUGACUGCAACUCCCAGCUGGCUUCAUUAUUCUCUUGUCCUCAAUAUAAUAAAACUCUUCAGCAUUUAUACCCAAACAAUUUGGAGAAAACUUGUCCUGUAUAAAUUUCAAAGUAGUUAACCACCAGACCACGCAUUUUAUAAUCAGUUCCAACUGUUAAGUCUUCCCCCAAGAGGAGUACUGUAAACAACUAAAUCAAGGGUGGAAACCUGCAUUUAACAUAAGUAACAUGGCAUUCUGCAAAGUUUAAAGUAGUAAGCUGAGCCACUGAACUACCAGCCAAGAGGACUGCAAUCCCAUCGAUGGUUCCUGGCCUGAGCUACCUGGCCUCAGCCGCCACUGUGUAGACAGCCCUUCCCAUGUUCAUACCCCAGACUUUACCAGGCCAGUACCACCACCACCAGACCCACUGGCAGAACAAAGUAAGUUCUUUUUACCAGCUCUGAAUAGCACCCCACAUCCUGAGAGAGUCCUGACUAACUCCUACAGCACACUGCCCUCCAGACAUUUGAUAAGUAUUAUCAGCCAAGCCUAGUAGUUCCUGAAAUCCUGGUCACAGCAGAGACUGGAGUAGGAGGACAGCAAGUUCAAGAGCAGCCUGGGCGAAUGAAAAGAGAAAGGAGGCAGCUGACAGGUAAUGCACUUCCUUCCAUGCAUGAGGCCACAGGUUCAGUGUGUGUGCAUCUGUGUGUGCAUCUUUUGUGUGUGCACAUUUCUUUAGUCUCUUCAAAGAGCACACAGUUGCAUCCAGUGCUGUUCCAAGCCACCUACCCUAGCCUCUGCUAUGUCUAAAUACAUACACAUCUCACAGAGCAGGCCUCUCUCUCUACUGUGCGAAUAUCCUAAGCCCUGCUGCUGAAAUAGUCCCUCCAGCUGGAUUCCUUCACCCCUUCCCAAAGCCAAAUUCAGGAGGAACCGCACCCCUAUCUCAGUAGCCAAAGUCCUAGCUAUCGCAAAGCUCUGCAGGUACCUGACACCCCAGAAAAUAGGCUAGGACUUCCCUCCUGCACUCUAAAAAUUAUCUUCUCUUGGGAGAGGCUGUUCUCCCACAAGUCAAAGAGCCUACUGCUCAGACUUGGGAAAGCCCCAUGAUGCCUGAGCAGGCCAAUACCUUUAGAGAAAUAACUUCUGGGACUGCACUGGGCACCAAACCAUAUACCAUGUCCAUCUGUUUGUUUGUUUGUUCAGCAGGGGAAAAGUCCCUGUUUCAGUUUGUUUACCAACAACUGGAAUACAGUCCUCACCACACAAGGAGCUGCCUCCAUGUGACCAGGUAGCAGAACAAACACAAAAGCGCUGUCAACUACAGGAGUCAACUGUUCACUCAGGAGACCAGAGGGGCUAUUUACAUCUCAGCCGUGGAGUUUGAAAAGAGGACAGACAGGCGGCCAAACAUGCCAUGCUCCUUGAUGCUGGGUGUAGAAAGAAUCCCCUAAACUCCUUGUCUGUGGGCUAACCCUAAGGAAUUUGAAGGUGCUGUUAUCUCACAGUACUCAGGUAACUGCCCACCUCCCCAAGGACUUGGUAAAAAGCAUGCAUAAGACACUUAAAAGAGCUUCAGUAAAGCUCUGUAAGAAAACAUCUGCCUCGCUUGCACCAGGCCUGGCUUCAUCUCCAAAAACAGAAAACUAACAGGAACACACAUGACAAACUACACUAUGUAGGUACUGAGUCUGAAAGAGAUACUCAAAAUGGUUCCAAGCAAGUUUCCACAUAAAAAUAGAGCAUAGUUACAGGCAGGGGACAGGUGUGAAGGGCUGGAAAGUUCAAUGUCCCUGAGGAAAUCUAGAGGAGCAACCUUAGAGAUGGUCAGAAACUGCGCAGGACACCUCUACCACUACCUUGGACCCUCUCCAGCACUGACAAAGUCAUACCGCCUGAGACAGUGGCCCCAGUCUGCUGAUACAAAGGCCGUUCUACCACAUAAGUACCAGUAUUUCCCCUGGAGAUGAGGUGAAUGGCCACACACAAGUGAGAGGCACUGAGGCCCAGUGUCCGUUCUCCUUACCAACUAUUAACCUUUUAAGAAAGAAACUCAGUUGGGCAUUAUGGCACACACCUUUGAUCCCAGCACCCAGGGAGGCAGCAGAAUCACUGAGUUCGAGGCCAGACUGGACUACAAAGUGAGUCCAGGACAGCCAAAGGCUUCACAGAGAAACCCAGUGAUGAAAAACCAAAGGAAAAAAAAAAAAAGAAAAAGAAAAAGAAACUCUUAACUCUAAGCUGGGCAGGGGGGAGUAUAGGUCUUUAAUCCCAGCACUUGGGAGGCAGAUCUAAGUUCUAGGUCAGCAUGGUCUACAGAGUGAGUUCCAGGACCAGGACUGCCAGGUCUACACAGAGAAACCAUAUCCCCUCAUGUUCCCUUCCCCCCAAAAAAGAAAAGAAACUAACUAACUAACUCACUCUAGGAGGCAAGAGAGAUGGCUCAGCAGUUAAGAACAUUUGCUGCUUUUGCACAGGACCCAAAUCCAAUUCCCAGUACCCACAUGGAGCCUCACAGACAUUUGUAAGUCCAGUUCCAAGGAAUCUGGCACGGCCUCCAAGGACACCAUGAAGGGUUUCUCUGCUGCCCUGGCUGUCCUGGACUCAAUUUGUAGACCAGACUGGCCUUGAACUCAGAGCUCCAUCUGCCUCCUCCUCCUCCUCUUCCUCUUAAGUGCUGAUAUUAAAAACAUGUGCCACUACACCCUGCUUUAAAAAAAUUUUCUUUAAAUGAAUUCUACUACAGCUGGUGAUAUGGCCUUGCCAGGGGUACCCCAAGUACAAUUCUUAGCACCCACAAAGGCUGCUCACAACCUGUAACUCCAACUCCAAGGCAUCUCAAACCCUCUCAAACCCUCUUCUGGCUUCCGCAUGGCAGAUACACCACACACACACACACACACACACACACACACACACACACCCUUUAAAAAUAACAGUGUAUAAAGCCGAAUUCCAAGGCUAGGGCUGCAGUUCAGUGGUAAAGGACUUGCUUAGCAUGCGUGGAUCCUAAGUUGGAUCCCUAAGACCA